AUUGAACGCUGGCGGAAUGCUUUACACAUGCAAGUCGAACGGCAGCACGGGAGCUUGCUCCUGGUGGCGAGUGGCGAACGGGUGAGUAAUGCAUCGGAACGUACCUAUUAGUGGGGGAUAACUAUCCGAAAGGAUGGCUAAUACCGCAUACGUCCUGAGGGAGAAAGCGGGGGAUCGUAAGACCUCGCGCUAAUAGAGCGGCCGAUGUUGGAUUAGCUAGUUGGUGGGGUAAAGGCCUACCAAGGCGACAAUCCAUAGCGGGUCUGGGAGGAUGAUCAGCCACACUGGAGCGGAGACACGGCCCAGACUCCUACGGGAGGCAGCAGUGGGGAAUUUUGGACAAUGGGGGCAACCCUGAUCCAGCCAUGCCGCGUGUGUGAAGAAGGCCUUCGGGUUGUAAAGCACUUUCAGCGGGGAGGAAAGGGCGCUGGUUAAUACCUGGCGCAGUUGACGCUACCCGCAGAAGAAGCACCGGCUAACUCCGUGCCAGCCGCCGCCGUAAUAC
rnacentral:rRNA from 1 species